AGACAUUAAUCUUAAGUAUCCAGGGAGCCCUAAAACAUUGUAUCCCACUAGCAAGGACCAUGGUAAUUGCCACGUAAAUCCCCUCCAUUAUGUGGCCCUUAUUAUGACCAGCCAGCCAAGGCUUGCCUUUAAAUCAUACCAAUUGAACCGAGCCUUGUAGAAACACUAUCACCUACGCAUACCUCUGCUUCUUUUCAUUAACCUGCUAUCCUCUUUACAAAUGGGAUUCUUCACCCACUCCCUUCUUCUAGAUUAGCAAUGCCCUGUUAAGUAAACGAACACGAAAUUCAAAGGGAAACAGGAGCAAUCAUCAUUACCAGCUGCCGUGUUAAGCAUUGCGAAAACGCUCACGAUUCACAGAAAAAUCCAUGCUGUUCUUUGAAGGCAUUCAAGCCUUAAUAGCUAGCUGGAUGAAUGUUUAACUUCUAGGCCAGGCACUACUCUGUCCCAACAAUAAGCCCUGUACAUUGGGAAAGGUGCCGAGACAUGAACUUUGGUCUUCUCUGCAAUCCAUCUGGAGCAUUCACUGACAACAUCGACUUUGAAGUUGCACUGACCUGGCCAGCCCUGCCACUUACCAGGUUGGCUCUGUAUGGCUAAGCGUUUUCUCCUAAAAUCCCUUGAAAACUGUGAGAAGACCAUAAGAAGAUCAUAUCUUUAAUUCUAUUUCACAAGUCACACAAUAUUCCAAUCAAAUACAGAUGGUUGAGAAAAGUCAUCCAUCUUCCCUCCCCACCCUCCCACAGCCCCUCAACCACUGCCCUGAAACUUAUAUGCUGUUAUCCGCAGCUCCAUCUGGAGCAUCACAGCUACUGUCAACCCUGACGCUCUUUCUGAAAAAACACCGGAUGGACAUCAGAACUAUUUCUUUAAGGAUGUUACUGAGCCACACAGGAAAACUUGCCUUAUGAUUUUGAAUGCACGGAUCUGAUUUGACUAAACAUGAUAACUAGAGAAUCACCCAAUCUACUCCCAUUUUCAACUCUAAAUCAUCAGAGUGUCUCAAAUCCAAAGCACACACAGACCAGCCUGGCCAACACGGUGAAACUCCACCCCUACUAAAAGUAUAAAAAUUAUCCAGGUGUGGUGGCGGGCGCCUGUAAUCCAAGCUACUUGGGAGUCUGGAGGCAGGAGAAUCCCUUGAACCUGGGAGAUGGAGGUUGCAGUGAGCAGAGAUCACACCACCGCACUCUAGCCUGGGCCACAAAUCAACAACAACAACAACAACAAAAAACAAAGCGCACACAGAGACUGAGGUCCUCUUUGGCAUUGAGAAGAUGGCUAUGCAAGUCCCAACUAGCAAGUGCAAACUUCCCAGCUUCACUUCUGCCAGUGUCCCUUCACCCCUUCUCAACCCCACUGGGAGGCAGGAGGGUGCUUGACAAUAACAGCCUUGGCAUCACUCUGCCAGGGUGUAAUAGGAACUGUUACAAUUCUGAGAUUCUGUAAGUGCUUUGAGAUUUUGGAGUCAGACUGCUUGAACUUGAAUCCUGGCCCUCUCAUCAGAGACUUGACUUAUUUUAGGCAAGUUAUAUAACCAAUUUUACCUCAGUUCCUUACCCAUAAAAUGGGUCUAAUGAGAGUACCUACCACACAGAAUUUUGAUGAAAACUGAAUGAGAUGAAGGCCUUUAAGGCAGUGGUCCCCAACCCUGGGGACACAGACAGGUACCAUUUUGUGGCCUGUUAGGAACUGGGCCACACAGCAGGAGGUGAGCAGUGGGUGAGUGAGAUCAGCGUUAUUUACAGCUGCUCCCCAUUGCUCACCUUACUGCCUGAGCUCCACCUCCUGUCAGAUCAGCAGUGGCAUUAAAUUCUCAUAGCAGCACAAACCCUGUCAUGAACUGCACAUGCGAGGGAUCUAGGUUGUGCGCUCCUUAUGAGAAUCUAAUGCCUAAUGACCUGUCACCGUCUCCCAUCACCCCUAGAUGGGAGUGUCUAGUUGCAGGAAACAAGCUCAGGGCUUCCACUGAUUCUACAUUAUGGUGAGUUGUAUAAUUAUUUCAUUAUAUAAUACAAUGUAAUAAUAAUAGAAACACAGUGCACAACAAAUGUAAUGUGCUUGAAUCAUCCCCAAACCAUCCCAGUCCACGGUCUUCCACAUUUUGUCUUUUCACAAAAUUGUCUUCCACAAAACUGGUCCCUGGUGCCAAAAAGGCUUGGGACCACUGCUUUAAAGCCUUUGCAUAGUGCUUAGAAUUGAGGGGGAAAAAAAAAACAAAAACAAUGUAGCUAGUUGCUACAAUCACUAUAUUGGUGAGUUUCAAAAGGAAAAGAAUUCUGUCCCAUUUAUGCUUGAGCCUUGAGUUGCUAACCAAGCCUGACACAAAAUUACUGUUGAAGGGAUGUGUGAGUCCUAAUUGAAAUGAGGCCUCUUAAGGGAAUUGUGGACCAAACCCCAAGCAGGCAGAAAGCCGUAUCUUAAUUAUUGCAAGUAUUUCAGGCAAGGUGUGGAUGGCCAUUUGAAUUCAAGCAGACUAGGACCUGGGAUGAGAAAGAAGGUGUGUACGUGACUUGAUCUUUGAACUUUAGCUCACCAUCUGGAAGAAGGCUGAGUAUUCUCUGCACUCACAUAGUAGCUAAUGCCUACUCCCCAGCCACCCACAAUUCUUUCUGUAGGAAGGCUCGCUAGAAUACUUUGUGAUAUUGGAUAUUAGUUCCAUAUUCUACUGUGUAUCUUAGUUCAACCAAAUUGUAAUCAUCUGAUAUUUAUUUCUUUUAAUAUAAAUAUAAGUAUAUUAAGUCUUGGCAUGCUUGCUCAGUCUCUCUCUCUCUCCCAUUCCUCCCCGCUCCCCUCUCUCUUUCCCAACAGGCUUGGAAAGCAGGCAUCACCAUGCCUAUUUAACAGUUGGGGUCCCUUGGCCACCAGGUGCUGGAGUAGGAAUCUGAGCCCGGACAUGCCUGAUCUGUAAAUUUUGUGUUUUCCCCACUGUGCUGGGCAGAUCACAGCUAUCAGCGCCAAAUUCAUAGAAGGGGCGCCCCCUGUGGUCAAUUGAGGGAUUUGUGUUUGAGGUAGAUCUCAAGAAGGAAUGGGUGGGGAACUUAGCCUAGGACAGAGCAGAAAGGAGCCCUCACUCCCCAAGCACCAACGGCCUCAGUCCUUCCUGCUGACUCCAGCCUCUAGCUCUCACCCAGACUAUCUGCAUCCUUCUCUCCACCACGCUCCUUUGGAACCUGCGUAAAACACAGAUUAAAGGAAUUCCGCCUUACUUCCCUUUCCGCAUUAUGACCAAAUGGUUUUACACUAUCAUUGAACAGUUUAGUACAAAACAUGCCACCUUUUAAUCUAUUCAUUCAUUUAACAAAUACUUUGGAGUGUUUACCAUGUGCCAAGUGCUGUUCUAAUAGACAUAAGCUGUGAGGUUAUGCUUAUCUGAUUCUCACAGCAACAGCUUUCGAGAUAUGAAUUGGUAUACUCAUUUGACAGAUGAGGAAAUUGAAUUCAUGUAGUGAGAAAGGAAGAGCUGCAAUUCAGGGUUACUGGUUUCUCCUGCACUAAGCACUGAGCCACACUAGAAGAGAAGGCAUGAGGAAGACAAAAGUGAGAAGGUACGAGAGAAGAUAUUAAGUAGAGGUCUAUUAGUUCCUCUUAAAACUAUUUAUGAAAGAGGCGGAUGGGGUAGUGGAUGGGAAAGACAGAUGGAUUCAUGUUCUUCACUCCAGGUUUCCCCCCAUUCCCUUCCCUUUUAAAUGCCUGCUCAUUUUUUGGCUACCUUUCAAGCUCUAGGAAAUACUCUGGAAUUCCAGGCUGGGAGGGGUUUCCUUUGCAGAUCUGGCUAUUGUAACUUUACAAGAAAUUGCUCAAUACUUCCUCUCACCAGUUACAAACCACGGUUUUCUGAAUGAACUUUAUGUUCAUUAAACAGUUAACCCUUCAGCUUUCUGACUCACAUUUUUCAUGUUAUUAAUCAGCUCUUAGAGUAAGGUAAAAUCUAGAACAGACUUUAUAUACACCCUCCCUCCCACACACAUAUACAUACAUAAUACAAACACAGACCACACAUGUCCACAUCCUUAUGCGCAAACACUAAGAAACACACGCAUACACAAACAUACAUGUACACAAAAUUAAAUACAUAGCUAUGGCACUUUCACUAUACAUGUAAACACCCUUACACACAUACAAAUGUACAUGCGCGUGUGCGCACACACAUAUGGAAUUAGCUUUUUCUCUUUGUGGGAGGAGGGAAAUGAAAAGACCCAAAACAUUCAGAUUCCCAAAUGGACACGUAAGAACCCCGUCAUGGAAAUAGGUCUGGGUUUUUUUCUCUUUUGAGGGAAGCAGGGCGUUUCUGGUUACUGUCGCCAUUGCCAUUGUGCCCCUGCUUACCAUCCCCCUGCACCGCCCCCCCGGCCCCCGCCCGCCACUGCUAGGGUUUACAGGUCAUCCCUGGAUUAAAUAAGUGAUAUUGUGUUUUUUUUUCUUUGACACAAAGUAAAAUUAUAAUUAAUAUUGAAUAAAGUAAAAAUGAACUCCUGAGUUCCAGUCCCUUAUGUAACACACCUGGUUUGUGGCAGGCACUCAGGAAAUAUUAGUUGCAUGAACGAAGGCUGCAUUUUCAUUAGAACAACAUGCAGUUCAACCCCUUCAUGUUUCAAUGAGGGUUCAGAUACCCAGAGGGCUAUGCUAUCAUCCUGGAGCCCACUCUGCUAACAAUUAGCAGAACGGAAGCCUUAAUUUCCAGAUUCUAGUGAACUUGAUGAGUCAAGACUAUUGCAAUUGGAAAUCUGUUCUCCUCUGCUGCUGCAUUCCCUGCUUAAUACUCAAGCCAGAAACCAGGAAGGCUGUGGCUUGCCUUUUCACUUCUUGUGUCCUGUUUAAGAAAUAUCUGCUAUCCCAAGCAUCUGGCAUCUUUCUUGACAUAUGUAGCAGUUGCUUUUUGACAGCUUGCUUCUUCAGUGAAUGAAUAAAUUAAUAAAGAGAAAUGUGAUGUUCAGUGAUCCAUUUUGCAGAUAACACUAACAAAGUUGACCUUAGAAUUGGAGUGCCUGGGUUAGAACCCUGCUGGUACCACCUGCUUACUGCAUGCUUCUGAUGUGAGUUCAGGAGAAGACACUGGCAAGGACAGCAAAGAACAGGAGAACACUCUAGCUUCCCUGAUAGCAUUCAAGGUGCUGUCCAAAGCUCUUGAGUUUCUGCUUUCAAGUGACCCUCAGAAAUUCCUCCAUUCACUGCAGAGGUUCUGUUUCUCCUUGCUUUGUUCUGACUUUACGGCAGAACUAAGCUAAUGAGUUAGUUACUAUGGGUUAUCACUUGGAUUUGAAGAACCAUCAUUUCUAGGCAUUGCUGCUCAGAGUGGGUCUGCCCUCAGGGGAAGCUGUCUAACCAGAGCCUAACCCACUAGGGUUUUAUCAGAACCUAACUGACCUGAGGAAAAGAAAUACUCAACUCCAGCAAGCUCCAGCCUUCCAAAUGGAGGAGGAGAAAACCCAACUCCAGCCCACUUCAGCUAUCUUGUCCCACAUAAAGGGGAAGUGGAAGAAACCUGAGAAGCAGGCAUGAAGUUCACAGUCCAGAGACCUUGCCAUCGUAUCCCCUUUUGGAGACACAAGCCAGGAAGGAAGCUCUUCAGUGCAGCUGUGAAUAGAGAAAUGCUGGCUGAGGUUUUGGAGACACUGGGUGAUCAUUCCCAGUGAAAUUUUUAGAUCCCUGGGGACAUGAGCUGCUUUGUCUUUUCCAAGGCUGAAAAAGUUUUGGAAGCCCUCCUAAGCAGGUGCCAGACCCUUUUUUGGCCAGAGACAGGAUCUUACGCUGUUGCCCAGGCUGGAGUGCAAUAGUGUCAUCAUGGCUCACUGUAGCCUGGAACUGCUGGGCUCAAGGGAUCCUCCCAGCUCAGCCUCCCAAGUAGCUAGGAGUAAAGUCUGGAGAACACUUUUUCUUUUGAGCUGUUUACAACCUUUAGCAAUUGAGUAGAGUGUACUCUUGUCAAUAGAAUUUGAAGCACAUUUCUCUCUCUGCCUGAUUUCUGUAGAAUUUGUAAACUAUUUGUGAAUAUUCUUAAUUUAUGGCAAUAUGGUUGCUUACAUAAGUUCAAUAAUAAUCUGUUUUCUUUUACAAUGAGACACAGUUGGAGGAACUGGUUAUUUUCCCAGGGCUUUGACUGAAAUGGCCUUGUGAAUGGUUCCAGGAAAGCCAAUUUUGGAGACCCUAUGUGGAUGAUGAUGCUUGCUGUACUUUCUGUGGGUAAUCGGGCCAAGUAUAUGGGACUGAAGCUAAUUUUGCAGGUGAGAAAAUGGAGGUCCAGAGAGAAAAGUGACUCACCCAAGCUGAAAACAGUUGCAGGAAGAAAAGCCAGGACAGAACUGGGCUGUUAGAAACCUUGGAGUACACUAAAGAUGAGGAACUGAGUCACCGCAAUGCCAAAUGUAACACGCUGUGGGUCAAAAUUUGGAUGGUUGCGUUGGAAAUUAUUCUGAAGCCACAGACAGGGCUAAAAGAGUCUAGAAUGUCCUACUAGCUGUUGGAACCUGCUGGAGUUCUAAAGGCAUGCGAUGUCCUGAAUGUGCUUGACCAAUGGACACAGCAGGUAUUUGAAGAGUUUUGAUGCUUCCUUUCUGUUUUCAGUGCUAUUUUUUUGCUUUAUUUCUUUUAAAAAACUUUCCCCACAGAGGCUAUUUAUUACACAGCAGCAGCCAGCAUGCACCAAGCAGAACUGCUUUUCAUAAUAAACCUAUUUAUCUUCUGGCAUGUCAGAAAUUUCUCAAAUUGAUACUUAUAAUAAAUAUGAUUAAUAACACAUUGUA
rnacentral:lncRNA from 1 species